AGUGAACGCUGGCGGUAGGCCUAACACAUGCAAGUCGAACGGCAGCACAGUAAGAGCUUGCUCUUACGGGUGGCGAGUGGCGGACGGGUGAGGAAUACAUCGGACUCUACUUUUUCGUGGGGGAUAACGUAGGGAAACUUACGCUAAUACCGCAUACGACCUACGGGUGAAAGCAGGGGAUCUUCGUACCUUGCGCGAUUGAAUGAGCCGAUGUCGGAUUAGCUAGUUGGCGGGGUACAGGCCCACCAAGGCGACGAUCCGUAGCUGGUCUGAGAGGAUGAUCAGCCACACUGGAACUGAGACACGGUCCAGACUCCUACGGGAGGCAGCAGUGGGGAAUAUUGGACAAUGGGCGCAAGCCUGAUCCAGCCAUACCGCGUGGGUGAAGAAGGCCUUCGGGUUGUAAAGCCCUUUUGUUGGGAAAGAAAAGCAGCAGGUUAAUACCCCGCUGUUCUGACGGUACCCAAAGAAUAAGCACCGGCUAACUUCGUG
rnacentral:rRNA from 1 species